UCGAUCGGUUGUGUAAUCUGAAAAUGUGUUGUUUCGUUUAAUAUAUAUGUAUGUACAUAUUAAAUAUCGGUGCUUCGCGCGUUCUUUCAACUUAACAAUUGUUGGUGCAGCAACAAAUUGGCGCUCAAUUGAAAAUAACACGCAUGCAGUGAGAGAGAGAAACUAUGAAAGAGAACAAGAAAGAAGGAGAGUGAAAAAAAGUAUUACUUGAACAGAAUAAUAAGGAGAGUUCUUUAACAAGAAGCUUCCCGUAAAAAGUAGAACUCGAUGCACAAAUCUUACUUUAAGAGAGAGACAAAACAAACUAAGUAUCCAGCUUAUUUAUACGCCUCCUAUCAAAGCCGCAAGAUGAUUUACAAAAGUAACAGUAAAUUGCUCAUCAAGAUCAGUUCGAAACGCCUCGCGAUCAGUUCAAUUAGCUAGGGUACUCUCCGCAGCCGGGACUCGGACAAUCCAUACACUCGACGAUCUUAUGAGAGUGAACCGAGUGUUGUUGUUGUUGUUGGAACUGACAUUGACAUGAUCCACAACGGCUGUCAUAAAUCUCACCUACCUUGGCUGGCACUUGAUGGGAUUGUUCCCGGAAUCGUUCGGUGGCUUACGUUUGGCGUUCGGUUCUUGCUGUUGGUGGUCAAAAGGAUCUCGAGAUGAAGGAAAAAAAGUGCAAAUCACUUCAUUAAAGCAUUGCAUACGCGACGACCCCCGCAGCUGCCCCCACGUUGCGUAGUUGCGCCGACGUCGCGACGUCUCCGAUUUGCAACUUUGUUGCGCAAGGCUCCAUACGGGAGGCUGCACAUCAUUUGGCUUAAUGGAUCCGCGGCAACAACAAUGACAACAACAAACGGCAAACAGCUUUGCCUGUUUGCUCUGACCCGCAAAAAGUUCGGUAUUGGUGGAUCGCGGCAUCGCCAAUCGUUGACUGUGCGCGGUUCGAACCAUCAAAACGAACGAGCAACAACAACAAGAAAAAACAACGAAAGAGUUAUAGUCGAAAGUGCUGGACUUGAAACUACCCUGUGCCCAAGUCAUUCGAAUAGAAAGGCGAUAUUUAAAAGCUAAAGAGAAACAAUGAGGGAGGCUCGGAAAGAGUGAUAAAUUAAUCCUCAUUCGAAUAAUAAAAAAUAUAUUGCCAAUGGAAAAUCAAGAACAUAUCAACUCGUGAACUCAUGCUAAUCGGAAAAAGACUGCCAAAUUAAGGACUACAAGGACCUCUAAGGACCUCUACGAGGGACACAGCAGAUUUUUUCAGGAUCGGACUUAAAUUAAGCCAUAUGUAGUUAU
rnacentral:sRNA from 1 species